GCAAAAAAAAAAAACACCGCAUUACUUUUUUCUCCUUUCUUUUGUUUUUUGUUUGAUCUCUAUUAUUCUCCGCUUCCUCCUUGAAUUUU
rnacentral:ribozyme from 1 species